ACGGCCAUACCACGUUGAAAACACCAGUUCUCAUCCGAUCACCGAAGUUAAGCAAUGUCGAUCCCAGUCAGUACUUGGGAGGGUGACCACCUGGGAACAUCAGGUGUAGCUGUAGGCU
rnacentral:rRNA from 1 species